CUUCCGCAAUGGACGAAAGUCUGACGGAGCAACGCCGCGUGAGUGAUGAAGGUUUUCGGAUCGUAAAACUCUGUUGUUAGGGAAGAACAAGUAUCGUUCGAAUAGGGCGGUACCUUGACGGUACCUAACCAGAAAGCCACGGCUAACUACGUGCCAGCAGCCGCGGUAAUACGUAGGUGGCAAGCGUUGUCCGGAAUUAUUGGGCGUAAAGCGCGCGCAGGCGGUUUCUUAAGUCUGAUGUGAAAUCUUGCGGCUCAACCGCAAGCGGCCAUUGGAAACUGGGAGACUUGAGUGCAGAAGAGGAGAGUGGAAUUCCACGUGUAGCGGUGAAAUGCGUAGAGAUGUGGAGGAACACCAGUGGCGAAGGCGACUCUCUGGUCUGUAACUGACGCUGAGGCGCGAAAGCGUGGGGAGCGAACAGGAUUAGAUACCCUGGUAGUCCACGCCGUAAACGAUGAGUGCUAAGUGUUAGAGGGUUUCCGCCCUU
rnacentral:rRNA from 1 species